AUUGAACGCUGGCGGCAUGCCUUACACAUGCAAGUCGAACGGUAACAGGUCUUCGGAUGCUGACGAGUGGCGAACGGGUGAGUAAUAUAUCGGAACGUGCCCAGUCGUGGGGGAUAACGCAGCGAAAGCUGUGCUAAUACCGCAUACGAUCUAUGGAUGAAAGCGGGGGAUCGCAAGACCUCGCGCGAUUGGAGCGGCCGAUAUCAGAAUAGGUAGUUGGUGGGGUAAAGGCCCACCAAGCCAACGAUCUGUAGCUGGUCUGAGAGGACGACCAGCCACACUGGAACUGAGACACGGUCCAGACUCCUACGGGAGGCAGCAGUGGGGAAUUUUGGACAAUGGGCGCAAGCCUGAUCCAGCAAUGCCGCGUGCAGGAUGAAGGCCUUCGGGUUGUAAACUGCUUUUGUACGGAACGAAAAGGUCCUAGUUAAUACCUGGGGCCCAUGACGGUACCGUAAGAAUAAGCACCGGCUAACUACGUGCCAGCAGCCGCAGUAACAC
rnacentral:rRNA from 1 species